UAGCUUUUUCAUGAUUCGGUGGAUGGUGGUGCAUGGCCGUUCUUAGUUCGUGGAGCGAUUUGUCUGGUUUAUUCCGAUAACGAGCGAGACUCUAGCCUACUAAAUAGUCUGCACAUUGCUUUGUGUCGCAGUACUUCUUAGAGGGAUUUUCGGUGUACAGCCGCACGAAAUUGAGCAAUAACAGGUCUGUGAUGCCCUUAGAUGUCCGGGGCUGCACGCGCGCUACACUGGCAAAAUCAGCGUGCUUGUCCUUUCCCGAAAGGGAUUGGUAAACCAUUGAAAAUUUGCCGUGAUUGGGAUUGGAAAUUGCAAUUAUUUUCCGUGAACGAGGAAUUCCAAGUAAGUGCGAGUCAUCAACUCGCGUU
rnacentral:rRNA from 1 species